AAGCAGGGGACGUAAGGCCUUGCGCUUUUGGAGCGGCCGAUGUCUGAUUAGCUAGUUGGUGGGGUAAAGGCCUACCAAGGCGACGAUCAGUAGUUGGUCUGAGAGGACGACCAGCCACACUGGGACUGAGACACGGCCCAGACUCCUACGGGAGGCAGCAGUGGGGAAUUUUGGACAAUGGGCGCAAGCCUGAUCCAGCAAUGCCGCGUGAGUGAAGAAGGCCUUCGGGUUGUAAAGCUCUUUCAGUCGAGAAGAAAAGGUUGUGAUGAAUAAUCACAACUCAUGACGGUAUCGACAGAAGAAGCACCGGCUAACUACGUGCCAGCAGCCGCGGUAAUACGUAGGGUGCGAGCGUUAAUCGGAAUUACUGGGCGUAAAGGGUGCGCAGGCGGCUUUGUAAGUCAGAUGUGAAAUCCCCGGGCUUAACCUGGGAAUUGCGUUUGAAACUACAAAGCUAGA
rnacentral:rRNA from 1 species